AUUAGGGGAUAAGGUGUAGAGGUGAGUAUGUUAAAUAAGAUACCCUAUAGUCUUCUUAGCUAGGAGAUAUAAAGUAAAGGAAAAUUUCUGCUAUGGGAUUCUAUUUAAUUUGAUUAGGUAGUUGAUAGGGUAACGGCCUACCAAGCCAACGAUCAAAAGUCAAGUUUGAAAGAACCUCUGGCCACAUUGGGGAUGAAAUCUCCCAAGUAGUAAUAACACUACCAGCAGUCGAGAAUAUUAGUCAAUGCUCGUAAGAGUGAACUAGCUAACUGAAAUCAUAGAAUUUCUUUAAAUUCAUGAUGUCGUAAGGGAAAAUAAUGAUAAUACCUUACUAUGAGUGUCGUCCAAAUCUGGUGCCAGAAGACUCGGUAAGACCAGAGACGCAAACGUUAAUCAUCAUAAACAGGCGUAAAGGGUUUGUAGGCAGCUUUUAUAAUAUUCAAUUGUAAUUUAAUUGAAAGCUAGAAUCAAAAAGAGGUUAUAGUGUAUAACGCCUAGAGGAGGGCUGAUAUCCAUAGAUCCUAGGCAGAAUACUUAGGGCGAAGGCCACUCUCCACUAAUGAUUGACGCUGAGAAACGAAGGUUAGGGUAGGAAAUAGGAUUAGAUACCCCGGUACUCCUUUCUGUAAACGAUGAAUGGUAGUCAUUAGUUAAAUUAAAUAACUAGAGGCGAAGUUAACACAAUAACCAUUCCGCCUUGUGAGUACUACUGCAAAGUAGAAAACAAAAAAAUUAGUCGGUCUCGAAGCAAACGGAGUGAAGCAUGUUAUUUAAUACGAUAAUCCGCGUAAAACCUUACCAGAACUUGCAUACAAACUAUAAAUUUUCUGUCAAAGGAAAAGAUUAGGAGUAUUAUAUCAAUUAAAGUACUUAAGUACAGGUGU
rnacentral:rRNA from 1 species